GAACACCCAAGUGAUAUACACCCAGAGGGCUUAUCUAAAUAGUUGAGGCGUUAUCUUGACCAGGCCGAUUACGAGUGGCCAACAAGAAGCAGAUGGCUUGGAAACACAUUACUAGAAAGUUCUCGACUUUAUCUCGCUGCAUGACGUCAACAGUCGGGGUGAUAAGAUCCUAUACUCUUCCAGAAUCUCGUACUGCGGAUGAGGAACGGCACAACUAUUUCGAAUCUUAUCAAAUGCGGCAGAAAAACAAUCAACAGUGAGAUUUCACAACUUCGUGACUGGAAAUACUUGGAGAUAACAGCUUCCAAAUCACAGCAGAGUCACAGUCGCAGUCGCAGUCACUGUGAUUUGUUUACCGUUAGGCGACGUGUGGAGACGGCAGUAGAGGUGAUCCGGUUCUAGAUAAAGCCCUAGCCUCAAUGCAGUACUUUAAAUAAAUACUUUCUGGGUACCGAUU